UAGAUCAGCACGUUGGCAUCGUAGGCGACGCCAAACUGGCCAUCAAUACUGUGGACCCAAGAAAACCAAGCUAGUUCACAGCACAAUCUCUGGCAGCCAGACGCGGUCGGAAGGGACUCGCAGGGUUCCUAGGCCCCCGAAGUCGUCCUUGCUGUAGUUGAGUCGGUAAUCAUGCCAGUCCUACGAGGGGGGUGACGGAAGGACGUGUGCCGUGCCCGUCCCACCUGGUGCUGCCCAGGAGGCCUUUGGAAGAAAGGCGCUCCCUAGCAAACCCCACAAUGCUCCCCAGAUUUCACUCACGAUUCCGAUCCAUACAUUGGUAGUGAGAGUCUCCUUCUUCUCGUUCUGCAGCAGGGAGAUUGAGGUGAUUCAGGCCCAAUUUCAAGGGUGAGAGGGAGUCUCCAGGAAGGACUCUUCCUAUCUUGACCCCUGCACCUGGAUAUUCCUGCUAGUGCUGGGUGUGGAACAGGAAUUUUAACAUUUGCUCAUGGUAAGGAUUGCUCGGGGUAAGUUUUUCUUUUAUGGGGGAGGGGAUGUGUGGUCCAGUAUAGGUCUGUUUAGCCAGACCUCUCUUUUCUAUUUGCAUAAUGAAAAUUCCACAGAGCCUUUGCAGACUGCCUAAUCAUUUUGUUUCUGAGGAAGCCUUGACUUCAAAGCUAGACCCAGAGAUCGCAGCCCAACAGGAAGCCACUCCCUUCACCAAUGAUUCUUGGCGAGCAACUCGGAACAGCUGUAGCUGCCCCCGGUGGCACACAUGCCAGGAUGCUGUUUCUUAGUCAUCGGGGACCUCAGGGUGACGAUGAUGACAUCCCAAGCUGCUCCGAUAGGGGUCCCCUCUGCGGUCAGCACAAACAGCCGCCCUUUCUUUUGUGCACAGAGAAAGGUUUUGCUGAGCCAAGACAGGGAGCGUCCAGUAGACACUAACUGCCAGGCUGCCUCCCACAGUGGAGCCUAGGCUGAGCGCUGAGACCUCUCUGGUUGACUGUUCGAGGCACUAUUGCUAUUGGGAAUCCUCUGCUCAAAACAUAACCAUGAGAAUAAAUGCAGAAUAAGUGCUUUAGCCUUCUACUGAGGGUCCUUCUUCAACCGUGUGACCCUACAGGAUCUACUAGUCACUUAGAGACCACUUAGAGUCAGUCGGUCCUGAGGCGGCCACCUGACCCCAGACAAGCCAAGGCAAGUCCUUCCCUGGGAAUUUUGCCAAACAGGAACUCAGGAAGCCUCUCUCUCUCCCCCCUGCCACAAGAUAGGAAAUUUAUUCAUUUAC